AAGAUGGUAACCUUGGGUUUGGCUCUUGUCUAUGUUCCUUGGAACAGGACGUCAUAGAGGGUGAGAAUCCCGUCUGAUGAGAUGCCCAUUCCUAUGUAAGGUGCUAUCGAAGAGUCGAGUUGUUUGGGAAUGCAGCUCUAAGUGGGUGGUAAAUUCCAUCUAAAGCUAAAUAUUGGCGAGAGACCGAUAGCGAACAAGUACAGUGAUGGAAAGAUGAAAAGAACUUUGAAAAGAGAGUGAAAAAGUACGUGAAAUUGUUGAAAGGGAAGGGCAUUAGAUCAGACUUGGUGUUUUACGAUUAUCUUCUCUUCUUGAGUUGUGCACUCGUAUUUCACUGGGCCAGCAUCGAUUCGGAUGGCAAGAUAAUGGCAGUUGAAUGUGGCUUCACUUCGGUGGAGUGUUAUAGCUUCUGCUGAUAUUGCCUGUCUGGAUCGAGGGCUGCGUCUUUUGACUAGGAUGCUGGCGUAAUGAUCUAAUGCCGCCCGUUG
rnacentral:rRNA from 1 species